rnacentral:rRNA from 1 species
UACGAAGGGGGCUAGCGUUGUUCGGAAUCACUGGGCGUAAAGCGCACGUAGGCGGAUGUGUCAGUCAGGGGUGAAAUCCCGGAGCUCAACUUCGGAACUGCCUCUGAUACAGCAUAUCUUGAGUCCGGAAGAGGUGGGUGGAAUUCCCAGUGUAGAGGUGAAAUUCGUAGAUAUUAGGAAGAACACCAGUGGCGAAGGCGGCUUCCUGGACCUGAUCUGACACUGAGGAGCGAAAGCGUGGGGAGCGAUCCGG